GACGAACGCUGGCGGCGUGCUUAACACAUGCAAGUCGAACGGAAAGGCCCUGCUUUUGUGGGGUGCUCGAGUGGCGAACGGGUGAGUAACACGUGAGUAACCUGCCCUUGACUUUGGGAUAACUUCAGGAAACUGGGGCUAAUACCGGAUAGGAGCUCCUGCUGCAUGGUGGGGGUUGGAAAGUUUCGGCGGUUGGGGAUGGACUCGCGGCUUAUCAGCUUGUUGGUGGGGUAGUGGCUUACCAAGGCUUUGACGGGUAGCCGGCCUGAGAGGGUGACCGGCCACAUUGGGACUGGGAUACGGGCCAGACUCCUACGGGAGGCAGCAGUGGGGAAUAUUGCACAAUGGGCGGAAGCCUGAUGCAGCAACGCCGCGGGCGGGAUGACGGCCUUCGGGUUGUAAACCGCUUUCGCCUGUGACGAAGCGUGAGUGACGGUAAUGGGUAAAGAAGCACCGGCUAACUACGUG
rnacentral:rRNA from 1 species